CACCGGGGCGAGAGGCGGCAGCGGCAGCGGCUGUGACGCGUCACAGCUGCCGCGGUCGCUCUGAGAGAAUGACAGAGGGAGCGCGGGGCGCUUUGCGUGGCUUCGCCUGGCAGGCUCAGCGUCCCAAUUAGCUCCCCGUAAACAAAGGAGGAAGUUUUGCCGCGGCGCUCGCGCUCUCCUUCCUCACCUCCCCGCCACCCUCACAUCUUCACCGCCACCUCCACCAGCGCAGCCCAGCGAGAGCUUCCUCUCCCCCCUUUUUUCUGCUAGCAGAUAAGAGGCGUUCAGAAGUGGCGCAGCCCCCGCUCUGAUAGCGCGAGGUGUCACCAAUGAAAGGCAGCGUCCCCGCUGAAUACGCUCGCGUGGAUGAAAGAGCAACAACACGUCCUCCUCCCCCUGCCUUUGAAGGCGUAAACCCAACCGGUGAGUUUAACGCAUUUCUAAUGAACCAACGCCGGAUGGAGUCUGGAGAUUAGUCAUCACACGUCGCCAACGUGGAUCACGUCCGCCGAGUGACAGGCAGCUGCUAAGAGGCCUUUCUGACCCACCGCUGAACACGGCCGGAUCUUCAGCAGCGAAGGUUCCAGUUAACCACGGACUCCUCUCUCCAUGUCGACUGAUUGCAUCAUCGGCUCGCCGCUGGCGUGAAAGUGGCUGAGUGAGAAAGUACAGGAUGUCUUUAUUGCUGUGGAGAGGGAAACCUUCUCCAACCGUCUCCACCUGCACUUAUCACUCGCUGAGCAGAAAAUUCACUGAAAGUUCCCUGUCUAACUGGCGUGCAUUCCUGUUGGAGAAAUCAUAAACUAAGUAAAUACAUCCAUUUGAUUUUUUUAAAGGGAAUAAUUAAAUUACAUUGGUACCAAUAAUUUAACACCCAGCAAAAUGCAUGCAUUCCUUUGUGGUUGAAUUUUCGCGGUUUCUUUCAUAGGCCUUCUAAACCUGCCUUCCACUGACCUAAAGAAGGAGGAAUGUCUCGGAACCAUCAGCAGAUCAUUUUCCUCACCGGCCAACCUCACGCGCCUUUCUUAAUUUGAUUGGCAUGUUCUAUUUAUUACCAUGCAACUGGGAUUUUAUCCGCUAUUUGCUUCCAGAUCAGCCUAUACGGAGAGGGAAGAGAGGCUCCCCUGUGGUAGUGGUGAUGUCACCAGUGCAGAGUAAAUACCCAAAGUGCAUCAUGUUAAAGUGGAAGAAAUGGAAAGGAUGUUUGUUUGGUGUGAAGAGGCGCGACGCUCAAACCGGCCACUCAUCAGGAGAAACUAGACUUACAAAUCUGCUCACAAAAAAACACUAAAAGCCAACUUUGGUUUUGAAGGCCAGUUAGGUGUACUUUUUUAGAGUGCUGAUUAUUUUUAAUGACACAAAUCACGGGGUGACAUUUUCAGAUAUGUCAUUUUUUUAAAUUUCAAUCACAACCUCUCUUUGGGGUUGACUGAUGAAUCACAGCAACCUUUUCUCCCUCCGAAUUCAUUUGUAUCUCUUUGGAGUAAGAGCCUUGCUGCAGCUGUCUGUGCCGUGUGAGGGUGGGGGGGGGGCAGAAGCUGGGGGAGAACAGCUCGAAAAUGGCUUCUCUCGGUGGCAGCGUAUCACCAUCUAAAUCUCUCCCCCCACAUCGGGGGAGCAGAGCUGUGACUACUGGGAUUAGGCUAAUCACACAUUCACCCAGGAGGCUGCACACACAGGAGAUCCUGCGUAAGGCAUGACCUUAUUUCAGACGGGUUUCUAUAGACGCUCUUUUGCUGGCAUCUCGAAGCCAAUGCUUAUGCUGAGAUUUACUUAUUGGGGCUGCGCUUUAUUCCAGUUUGUCCCUUUACGCUGCAUUUUACACUUCAUUGACACGCAAACAUCCUUUUAUGAGCCG
ensembl:lncRNA